CCUGUACUGCCCGAAGAAAGUGCUGGCGCCGCAAUCAGCGUCCGCAGGUCCUUGCCUUCCCCGGGCAGGGGUGGGCUGGGACGGGCCGGGUGGUGCCGGCCGCGAGCGCCCAGCUCCGGAACCGGGACUCAGCUGCACUGUGGGGCUGCGUGCUCCUCGCAGGUCGGCGUGUGCCACUGGUGGCCAGGACAGGAGGCCCGGGAGGGACUGGGAGCCUCCAGGCAGGGGAGACCUGCCUUUAACAGACCGGACUCUGCCACCUCCGUGUUUUCCCUCCUUUUCCCCACUCCAGCUACUCAGGCCGACGUCACGAGUGGCCUCGGAGAGCUCAGUUUCCGAGUUCUAGAAGGAACCGGCAAUACAUCUGGGGAGCCUUCGUGCCGACGAGUGAGUGACCAGAGACCUACAAGCAGAAGUGGCUGGGAAGUCACACGGCGCCUUGUCCAUCUCCGUCUGUGCCACGCGGACCAGCCAUGAAGCAUUGUGGGAAGGGACCUGAGAAGGUGUGCGUCCAGGAGGCAGGACUCAUCAGAGGCCAUCUGGAAGGCCCGCCCAGGUCUGGGAGCCUGUGCACCCCGACCAGCUAACUCCCUGUGCCUGGAUUCUGGCUAACACAGAGCUGAAAUAA